rnacentral:rRNA from 1 species
GACGAACGCUGGCGGCGUGCUUAACACAUGCAAGUCAAGGGGGCCCAGCAAUGGGCAACCGGCGAACGGGUGCGUAACACGUGAGCAACCUACCGAAAUGUGGGGGAUAGCCGGCCUAACGGCCGAGUAAUACCGCAUACGCUCUCGAUGAGGCAUUUCAUUGAGAGGAAACCUACGGGACAUUUCGAGGGGCUCGCGGCCUAUCAGCUAGUUGGAGAGGUAACGGCUCACCAAGGCAACGACGGGUAGCUGGUCUGAGAGGAUGGCCAGCCACAUUGGGGACUGAGAUACGGCCCAGACUCCUACGGGAGGCAGCAGUGGGGAAUCUUGCGCAAUGGCCUAACGGCUGACGCAGCGACGCCGCGUGUAGGAUGAAGCUCCUCGGAGUGUAAACUACUGUUGCCCGGGACGAACAGCUCGAUUAA